GUCUACGGCCAUACCACCCUGAACGCGCCUGAUCUCGGAAGCUAAGCAGGGUCAGGCCUGGCUAGUACUUGGAUGGGAGACUCUAGGAAAUAGCAUUCCAACAGGGCAGUUCCUC
ensembl:rRNA 5S_rRNA 5S ribosomal RNA